UACCAAACGCCACUUCUUUGAGGGUCAUGGAUCUGGACAAAUUCUGGAUUUUAGGGAAUUCGCCUUAGUUAUGAGCCCGGACAGAGUGAUUUGUUUGCAUAGACCCAAGUUCAGAUGCAAUGGGGGUCCAAAGUUGCUAAUUUGGUUCCAGAAACUCAAUGAUUUUCUUGAAUGAAAAUAGUGAAAUAGUUUAAGUAUCCCUACUGUUACCUUUUUUGGAAGAUUGGCAAAACUUUUCAGAUAAAAAUUUUAGAUGGCAUUGUUAAAUGGUUUGAUUUGUCACACCCGAGUUCAGAAUAAUACGCAGCUACAUUUGAUGUAUUGCAGUUUCAUGGUUAUGAGGAGCCCUUUUCUUCAAUGCAAAAGAAGUGAGCUUAUCGAUGACAUCUGGCAGAACACAGAAUGUUGAC